GCAGCAGCCGCGGUAAGACGAGGGGUCCUAGCGUUGUUCGGAAUCACUGGGCGUAAAGCGUAUGUAGGCGGGCUUUUAAGUCGGGUGUGAAAUCCCACGGCUCAACCGUGGAAUUGCAUUCGAAACUGGAAGUCUUGAGUGUGGGAGAGAUUGGUAGAAUACCUAGUGUAGUGGUGAAAUACGUAGAUAUUAGGUGGAAUACCGGUGGCGAAGGCGGCCAAUUGGCCCAACACUGACGCUGAGAUACGAAAGCGUGGGGAUCAAACAGGAUUAGAUACCCUGGUAGUCCACGCCGUAAACGAUGAUCACUUGGUGUUGCAGGUAUUGACCCCUGCAGUGCCGAAGCUAACGCGUUAAGUGAUCCGCCUGGGAAGUACGGUCGCAAGAUUAAAACUCAAAGAAUUGACGGGGGCCCGCACA
rnacentral:rRNA from 1 species